CUGGCGGCGUGCCUAACACAUGCAAGUCGAGCGAGGAGAUCCUUCGGGAUGAUCCUAGCGGCGGACGGGUGAGUAACACGUGGGCAACCUGCCUCAUAGAGAGGAAUAGCCUUCCGAAAGGGAGAUUAAUACCUCAUAACAUUGCAGUUUCGCAUGGAACAGCAAUUAAAGGAGUAAUCCGCUAUGAGAUGGGCCCGCGGCGCAUUAGCUAGUUGGUGAGGUAACGGCUCACCAAGGCGACGAUGCGUAGCCGACCUGAGAGGGUGAUCGGCCACAUUGGGACUGAGACACGGCCCAGACUCCUACGGGAGGCAGCAGUGGGGAAUAUUGCACAAUGGGGAAACCCUGAUGCAGCCAACGCCGCGUGAGUGAUGACGGCCUUCGGGUUGUAAAGCUCUGUCUUCAGGGACGAUAAUGACGGUACCUGAGGAGGAAGCCACGGCUAACUACGUGCCAGCAGCUGC
rnacentral:rRNA from 1 species